CUACCCCCCUGCCGAUCACGGUCAGUCGGCUCGCGCACCUGGAGCGAGCGUGUUCGAGAAAAACUUUAAAUGCUUCGUGGGAUGUGGAAGUUAUGAAACUGGACCGCAACCUCUUGACGAAGCUAUAAGUCCACCUCAUACUCCAACACCAGUAGGCCAGUAUAUUGAAGAACUUCCAAAACCAUGCAAGACUAUAACGGCAGAAACACAAAUUCUUAAGGAUUUUAUAACACCAUGCAAGACUCCAUCACAAACUACAAUCCUUCUUCAACCUGAGGAUCAUCAUGUAACACCAAUAAAAUAAGGGGCACUUCCUCAAUU